UUUGCAUUUAUGUUUUUACGACACAUACUUGAACGUUUGGGAUGGCGCGUAUGUGGAGUCAAAUCUGCAAAAUAAACACCAACAUGUUACAUAAAAAAAGCAUAUUUGGAGGGAUGUCUCAUGGGUUUCAUGUCAUAAAAGCCCCUUUGUGUGAUAACAGAAAAAGGUUAUGAUGAUGCAGUCCUUUAUGACCCAAGGAUACAUGAAAGCAUGCUGACAACUUCAAAACAAUUGUUGUCCAGACGGGAGAUGCAAAGAAAGCUCAAACUAGUUGGAAUUCUGGCAGAAACGUCAAUAUUUGCUUCAUUCAAUGGCAUAUUUCGGACCAGUGGUUGUCAUGGCAACGUUUAGAGGAGCUUCCAAGUAAGAGUGCUAUGUAUGGUAGCAGUUGGACCUUCCUAACCUGGCCCUCCGGCACCUCAAGAGUGCCCAGCAAUGUCACCUUCAUUGAUUGAGCCUGAUUGAAGAGCGCGUCGUGACGAGAGAGGAAAUCGAUGAAUGGCAGAAGGUCACGCCGUGGAGACGCUCAUUUGAACAAUGCUCGGGUAAAAAGGGAUGGCUUUUACUAGAUGGUACCAGCCAGCAGAGGGCGCAAUCAAUUCAGGCCAGGAGCGGAUGAAGGUUGAAUUGGAGUGAGGUUCCCCAGGCUGCACAAGUUAAUGCAUUAAUACAUUUGCAUCACCCUCGACUAACUUGGUACUUGUUUUCACAUGUUUUGCUAUAUUUUGUCACAGGUACACGGGAUGAAAUGGGGGGUAAGUCACUACAUUGCUGCUGGGCAUGUCAUAUAACUUAAUGUCAAAAAAUCCCGAAUUAUCCCUUUAAAUGGCAAGGUUCAUGUUUAUUGGUUCUAGAGCGUUGGUAUUUAGUUUGAUAUGUUGUUUACAUUUUUUCAAAUUGUGGUUGCAGCAAAAUAAUGUGUUUAUUUUGUUAAUUGAUGGUUUUGUGGGGGUUUUUCCCCACAAAAAAUAGGUAAAAGUCAUGUGAAAUGUUGAGCUGUCCAUUCAUUUGCCAUUUCUAAUUAUUAUCAUU